rnacentral:pre_miRNA from 1 species
GAUUUCAAUUGAAAAAGUCAUCAACAACAAAAUUGUAUAACUCAUCAAGAUCUAAAACUUUUAUUUUUUCAUUUCUUCAUCCGGCAAAGUGUUAAAAAUAUUGUUCACAAAUUUUACAUAUAUGUGUUAUAGUUUAUAAAACCAGAUAAGAGAUACGUCAGCUUUGUAAACAAUGUUAGUAUCACUUUGUCGGAUGAAGAAAUAACAAAAAUAAAAAUUUUAGAUCUUGAUGAGUUAUUUAACUUUGUUGACCUUUUCAGUUGAAAUC